ACUCCUGCGGGAGGCAGCAGUGGGGAAUUUUGGACAAUGGGCGAAAGCCUGAUCCAGCAAUGCCGCGUGCAGGAUGAAGGCCUUCGGGUUGUAAACUGCUUUUGUACGGAACGAAAAAGCUCCUUCUAAUACAGGGGGCCCAUGACGGUACCGUAAGAAUAAGCACCGGCUAACUACGUGCCAGCAGCCGCGGUAAUACGUAGGGUGCGAGCGUUAAUCGGAAUUACUGGGCGUAAAGCGUGCGCAGGCGGUUAUGUAAGACAGAUGUGAAAUCCCCGGGCUCAACCUGGGAACUGCAUUUGUGACUGCAUGGCUAGAGUACGGUAGAGGGGAAUGGAAUUCCGCGUGUAGCAGUGAAAUGCGUAGAUAUGCGGAGGAACACCGAUGGCGAAGGCAAUCCCCUGGACCUGUACUGACGCUCAUGCACGAAAGCGUGGGGAGCAAACAGGAUUAGAUACCCUGGUAGUCCCAU
rnacentral:rRNA from 1 species